AUUGAACGCUGGCGGCAUGCUUUACACAUGCAAGUCGAACGGUAACAGGCCGCAAGGUGCUGACGAGUGGCGAACGGGUGAGUAAUGUGUCGGAACGUGCCCAGUCGCGGGGGAUAACUACUCGAAAUAGUAGCUAAUACCGCCUACGCUCUAUGGAUGAAAGCGGGGGUCCGUCAGGCCUCGCGUGAUUGGAUCGGCCGAUGUCAGAUUAGGUAGUUGGUGGGGUAAAGGCUCUCUAAGCGAAUGAUCUGUAGCUGGUCUGAUAGGACGCCCAGCCACACGGGGACUGAGACACGGCACAGACUCCUACGGGAGGCAACAGUGGGGAAUUUUGGACGAUGGGCGCAAGCCGGAUCCAGCAAUGCCGCGUGCAGGAAGAAGGACUUCGGGUUGUAAACUGCUUAUGUACGGAGCGAAACGGCGCUGGUUAAUACCCGAGGCUAAUGACGGUACCGGAAGAAUAAGCACCGGCUAACUACGUG
rnacentral:rRNA from 1 species